AUGGCCCCGACCGAGGGAUCCUCCAUGGCCGAUCUUCCUGCAGUCGAUGACGACCAAGAGGAGGAGACACCGAUCCCCCGCCCCGUGUCCUGGCUCCCUCCGCACACCCCCCACGACUGCGGCGAUCCUCCCCCAAAGUCGGUCGUCCUCGACACCCUGGUCUACGCCGACGACCGCACCAACGCCUUCACCGCCGAGGGCUUCACCAGCAACAGCCUCGCCAUCUACCUCACCUUCUGGCCCGCGCAUCCGCCGCUCAUCUCAUACUUCACCGUCCACCUACCCGGCCUCCUCCAAGACGGACCGGCCACCUCGCUCGACCUUCUGCCACGCCUUCUCCGCACCGACGGCGACCUCGCCCUCUUCCGCGUCAUGGUCGGCCCUUCGCGCAGUAAUCGGAAGCACAUCAACUACAUGAUCUACCGUGUCCGUGCCGGCAUCAGCAAGCUUGAGGUGCUCCCCGCCCACCCCACCCGCUUGUUCGCCGACUGUUCAUUUGCCCUCCUGCGCUGCCGCUGCCCCGACGACGGCAGGUUCUUGGUCGCCAAUCUCCGUUCGAUUUACUCCCGUGGGCAGUACGCCCUCGACCUGUUCGACUCCCGGUCAGGCACAUGGAGCACUAAGUCGAUGCAUGCUGAGUCGCCAGAGGACUGCGACUACCGUACUCCAACCAAGGUGAUCGCCCUCGGUGGCGAUCGCGGUUCAAUCGGAUGGGUCGACCUCUGGAAUGGCAUCCUCAUCUGUGAUCUGCUCGCCGAUGAUGACCAAGUCCUCCGCUUCAUCCGUUUGCCCGUGCUUUCGGCGCCGGACAAGAUGAUCCCAGGACCUUUGGCAUGUGACCGGGACGUCUCUGUCGGCAGUGAUGGCUGCAUCAAAUACUCAGAGGUGUGGGCGAAUCCCUUGCCUGGCUCACAGAAUCGAGCCACCUACAUCUCCCAGGACUGGGGUGCUGCCAUACUGACAUGGCUGGAGCCCCAAAAGAAGUGGCAAAUCGACCUCAGCCUCAAAGCCUCAGACAUCAUUGUGGACAAGAGUCACUCCCAGUUGCUUCCUCAUCAUGUCAAGGCCACAAUGAAGAAGCCAACCUUAAGCAGACUCCACGCAGGGCAUCCUGCCUUCAGCUUGCAUGAUGAUGGUGUUGUUUACAUCAUGACUAAGGUUGACCACAGGGAGGACGACUUGUGGAUGCUUGCUGUUGACAUGAGAAGCAAGACUCUGAAAGGAGUGGCUGGUCUCACCAGUAAAAGAACCAUGGGUUUUAGAUUCAUGUACUUGCAAAGUGACCUCUCCAACCAUCUGGCGCGCACAAGCAGAACAACAGAGGUCUCCAACCAUUUGGUGGCCACAAGCAAAAAAACCGAGGUCUCCAACCAUCUGGUGGCCACAAGCAAAACCGAGACAUCCAAGAAUCUGCCCAAAAGCAAAAGGUCCUCACGCAGAAAGAAACGUGGUAAGAAAGAAGCUGUGAAGGCUCUUGCUAACAGCAAUGGUGUGGAUGUUGAUGCGACUCGGAGGGAAUCGCAGCAGUUGGUGCAACUUGCGGAACAAGAAGAACAGGAGCUGAGGAUACUCGAGGUGUUUUAG
rnacentral:rRNA from 1 species